rnacentral:misc_RNA from 1 species
GGGGAUCGUUUUGGUUUUUGGUUGCUUGCAUGGUGUUAGYGCCAAGCAGGUGGUUUUAAGCUAAAUGUUCUUCGGGGAUGUCGACCGUAAAGGUGCAUGAGUGGUGUUUGGUUAGUUACGGGUGGUUGGAUGUCUGUUUGCGCAGCAACUUCCAUGCGUUCUUACCUCUUCAGUCGUGCUACAAGGCUUCAUCUGCUUUGUGCACCCGGUGGGUUUCUGUGUUGCAUACCUAAAGAAAGGCAUCAUGUGGCUAGAUCAAAGCUUAUUUUCGUAAUGCGUCGUUUGCGGCGUUGAACGAACCUUGAAGCGGUCUCCAUGGUCCUUACCGUUGUUGCCCGUUCAACGAUGGCAUGGCCUUUGGAGCGUCGUUUGGUCUCUUGGAUAUAGAACCUGAUGUGGGCUGUAGGGUCUUUGUUGAUUCUACUUUUGCCCUUGUUUAGCGUUCUCGCUUCUCUAAACGACUGUCUGUCAUGUGCUGGCUUGUCCGUGCAUGGUGGGCUGUGUCGAAGAGGAAUGC